CCUACGGGGGGCUGCAGUGGGGAAUAUUGCACAAUGGGCGCAAGCCUGAUGCAGCCAUGCCGCGUGUGUGAAGAAGGCUUUCGGGUUGUAAAGCACUUUCAGCGGGGAGGAAGGCGGUGAGGUUAAUAACCUCAUCGAUUGACGUUACCCGCAGAAGAAGCACCGGCUAACUCCGUGCCAGCAGCCGCGGUAAUACGGAGGGUGCAAGCGUUAAUCGGAAUUACUGGGCGUAAAGCGCACGCAGGCGGUCUGUCAAGUCGGAUGUGAAAUCCCCGGGCUCAACCUGGGAACUGCAUUCGAAACUGGCAGGCUAGAGUCUUGUAGAGGGGGGUAGAAUUCCAGGUGUAGCGGUGAAAUGCGUAGAGAUCUGGAGGAAUACCGGUGGCGAAGGCGGCCCCCUGGACAAAGACUGACGCUCAGGUGCGAAAGCGUGGGGAGCAAACAGGAUUAGAUACCCGGGUAGUC
rnacentral:rRNA from 1 species